UCAUUUACCUCUCACCCCUAACCCUCCGUUCAUGUGUAAGUUCAACUCUGAGUUGUCCCACAUGAAAAAGCAUGUUGUCUCUUCUCCAUCUAUCGUUCUACUUUUGGCUCUACAUCGGAGCUGCACGAACAGCUAGUUGUCACAAAAAUCUGUAUCUCUCUCAUCUCUCUCCCCGUCCCGAUCCUGUCUCCAGCAUCGCACCGUGCCGCGCCGCUCCUGCCAUGCUCCAACGCCGUGCUGCAAUAGGAAAGCAAUUAUAUUUUACACUAAAAAUCUUUGAUUUCUUUCCACCACACACGUGCCUAUCCUAUUCUCUGAUUCCUAUGCUCCUGUAAUCACCCAUACUCUCUCUCUCUCUUCUCAUUAGUUUUGCUUAAGCAUCCAAGAAAAUUAGAGCACAAGAGCAGCAGUAGCAGCUCCGUGUGAUGGCUGAUGCGGUGGCGCAGAACUCCACAGGCCACGGUGCAGCUGGAGCUAGGACCGACUGGUCAAGCUCAACGAGUCAUGGUGCAAAUCACAGCCCACGGGAGGACCAGCGCACGCAUGGCUGGGUGCAGGCAAGCACAAGCAGAGCAUGCAUGGCCACCGGCGCGCAGCACACACGGCCGCCGGCUUCCCCGCCACGAACAACCUUGUCCAGGAGGUCCGCAACCUUGAGAUCUCCUUCCCCGCGCAAGGACUUGGCCGAAUUCACCCUGAAGCCCUCGCCAUCAUCCUCCAACUCCAAGUCCGAGUAUCGUCGUUCGUCGUCGAUUACCUUGCCGUUGCUGCUUCCCCGGCCUCACCGACCUCGCCGUCGGGUUCACCGAGCAAGAGGCAACCAGCGCGCGAGUAGCCGGGGCGGCAGCGCAGUCAAGAGAGCAGGAGGCAUGAGGUACGCGGCGGCGGCCUGUGGUGUGCCGAGACGGUUGGGAAGAAGGGUGCCGUCAUGCACGGCACGCUCGGCUCAGAGCUCCGCUAGGCAGGAGGGGCACCGACGUUUGAUAAAAUUUACACUGGGAUCGAUCUCGGUGUACGCAUCCUCGUCCGCUUCUCCUCUACUCCCCUCUUUCUGGGAACUGAUAUUUAUUGGAGGGUAGCAAAGGCGGCGAGGAAGGUGAGGUUUGACUCCAACUCAUGUUCUACACGGAUAAUUUCUGACGUUUGAUUUUUGGAAGAUUAUAAACUUUUA